rnacentral:rRNA from 1 species
CCUACGGGAGGCAGCAGUGGGGAAUAUUGGGCAAUGGGCGCAAGCCUGACCCAGCAACGCCGCGUGAAGGAAGAAGGCUUUCGGGUUGUAAACUUCUUUUCUGAGGGACGAAGAAAGUGACGGUACCUCAGGAAUAAGCCACGGCUAACUACGUGCCAGCAGCCGCGGUAAUACGUAGGUGGCAAGCGUUAUCCGGAUUUAUUGGGUGUAAAGGGCGUGUAGGCGGGAAAGCAAGUCAGAUGUGAAAACUCAGGGGUCACCCCUGAGCCGGCAUUUGAAAAUGUUUUUCUUGAGUGCUGGGGAGCCAAUCGGAAUUCCGGGUGUAGCGGUGAAAUGCGUAGAUAUACGGAGGAACCCCAGUGGCAAGGGCGGAUUGCUGGACAGUAACUGACGCUGAGGCGCGAAGGCUUGGGAGCAAACAGGAUUAGAUACCCCUGUAGUC